rnacentral:misc_RNA from 1 species
UCCGGUUUGGCACCGGCAGUCUCCUCAGAGUUCCCGGCGUGACCCGCUGGCAACCGAGGACAAGGGUUGCGCUCGUUGCGCCACUUAAGGCAACACCUCACGGCACGAGCUGACGACAGCCAUGCACCACCUGUGCAGGCUCCGUAGAGCUCCGGCUUUCACCCGCUUUAACUAGCAUGUCAAACCCAGGUAAGGUUCUUCGCGUUGCAUCGAAUUAAGCCACAUGCUCCGCCGCUUGUGCGGGCCCCGUCAAUUCCUUUGAGUUUUAGCCUUGCGGCCGUACUCCCCAGGCGGAGUGCUUAAUGCGUUAGCUGCGGCACAGAGAGGGUUGAAGACCUCCCCACACCUAGCACUCAACGUUUACGGCUGGGACUAC